CCUACGGGCUGCACCAGUGGGGAAUUUUGGACAAUGGGCGCAAGCCUGAUCCAGCAAUGCCGCGUGCAGGAUGAAGGCCUUCGGGUUGUAAACUGCUUUUGUACGGAACGAAAAGCCUGGGGCUAAUAUCCCCGGGUCAUGACGGUACCGUAAGAAUAAGCACCGGCUAACUACGUGCCAGCAGCCGCGGUAAUACGUAGGGUGCAAGCGUUAAUCGGAAUUACUGGGCGUAAAGCGUGCGCAGGCGGUUUUGUAAGACAGUGGUGAAAUCCCCGGGCUCAACCUGGGAACUGCCAUUGUGACUGCAAGGCUAGAGUGCGGCAGAGGGGGAUGGAAUUCCGCGUGUAGCAGUGAAAUGCGUAGAUAUGCGGAGGGACACCGAUGGCGAAGGCAAUCCCCUGGGCCUGCACUGACGCUCAUGCACGAAAGCGUGGGGAGCAAACAGGAUUAGAUACCCUCGUAGUC
rnacentral:rRNA from 1 species